rnacentral:rRNA from 1 species
AGCGAACGCUGGCGGCAGGCUUAACACAUGCAAGUCGAGCGGGCAUCCUUGUGGUGUCCGCGGCAGACGGGUGAGUAACGCGUGGGAACGUGCCCUUCGGUUCGGAAUAACUCAGGGAAACUUGAGCUAAUACCGGAUACGUGCGAGAGCAGAAAGGUUUAUCUGCCGAAGGAUCGGCCCGCGUCUGAUUAGCUAGUUGGUGAGGUUAUGGCUCACCAAGGCGACGAUCAGUAGCUGGUCUGAGAGGAUGACCAGCCACACUGGGCGUGAGACACGGCCCAGACUCCUACGGGAGGCAGCAGUGGGGAAUAUUGGACAAUGGGGGCAACCCUGAUCCAGCCAUGCCGCGUGAGUGAUGACGGCCUUAGGGUUGUAAAGCUCUUUUCUCCGGGACGAUAAUGACGGUACCGGAGGAAUAAGCCCCGGCUAACUUCGUG